UUCCGGUUGAUCCUGCCGGACCCCACUGCUAUCGGGAUAGGACUAAGACAUGCUAGUCGCGUGCUUCAGCCAAAACGAGGCACGGCAAACAGCUCAGUAACACGUGGCUAAUCUGCCCUUAGGACGCGAACAACCCCGGGAAACUGGGGCUAAUUCUCGAUAGGUGAAGAACUCUGGAAUGAGUCUUUGCCUAAAAGAGCUUACGUUAUGCUCGUAAGUUUCGCCUAAGGAUGAGGCCGCGACCGAUCAGGUUGUUGGUGAGGUAAUGGCUCACCAAGCCUUUUACCGGUGCGGGCCGUGAGAGCGGGAGCCCGGAGAUGGGCACUGAGACAAGGGCCCAGGCCCUACGGGGCGCAGCAGUCGCGAAAACUUUGCAAUACACGAAAGUGUGACAGGGCUAUCCCGAGUGCCAUCCGCUGAGGAAGGCUUUUACCCAGUCUAGAACGCUGGGGGAAUAAGGAGAGGGCAAGUCUGGUGUCAGCCGCCGCGGUAAUACCAGCUCUCCGAGUGGUGUGGAUGUUUAUUGGGCCUAAAGCAUCCGUAGCUGGCUAGGUAAGUCCCCUGUUAAAUCCACCGAAUUAAUCGUUGGAUCGCGGGGGAUACUGCUUGGCUAGGGGACGAGAGAGGCAGACGGUAUUUUUGGGGUAGGGGUGAAAUCCUAUAAUCCCAGGAAGACCACCAGUGGCGAAGGCUGUCUGCUAGAACGCGCCCGACGGUGAGGGAUGAAAGCUGGGGGAGCGAACCGGAUUAGAUACCCGGGUAGUCCCAGCUGUAAACGAUGCAGACUAGGUGUUUGGACGGCCACGUGCCGUUCUAGUGCCGCAGGGAAGCUGUUAAGUCUGCCGCCUGGGGAGUACGAUCGCAAGAUUGAAACUUAAAGGAAUUGGCGGGGGAGCACCACAAGGGGUGAAGCUUGCGGUUUAAUUGGAUUCAACGCCGGAA
rnacentral:rRNA from 1 species